ensembl:lncRNA
CUAGUUUGUUAGCUUGAUUUCACCAUCUGUGAAGGUAUCUCCAGGGAAAUUAGUCUGACUGCUGAUCCUGUUGGUGGAUGCUGUUGGUGGCUGCUGGUGGUGGCGGCUGACGACGUUUGCUGAUGGUGGUGGCUGGUGCUGGUGUUGGCUGCUGGUGGUGGCUGCUGGUAGAUGCUGCUUGUUGUGACUGCUGGAAUAAGAGGAGACUGGGGGCUGCGGAUGGUGGGCCAGGAAUGGAGAGGCCAAAUACAUCCAUGGCAAGCAGUAAGCCAGUUGGCAGUGGCCUAGAUGUUAUGACCUCAGCUCAUGGCAUGAGGGAAGGUUGCUGUCCAGACCCAUGGCCUCUCUUUCCAGCUGUGCCACUACAUUGGAGGACUGCAUGAGGGAAUCACUCGUCUGAGAACGGAACAGCUGCUCCACGUUCUGCAGGAGAGUGAACACCUCAUCGGAUGGACGGUAUAAUGCUCCCCUUUUAAAUUCUUUUAAUUCAAGUAAUACAGCUCUCUCACUUGCGGUGUUGGUGACUUUUUCCACCAGUGCACACUUGCAUUCCUCACAGAGUGAGAAGCCGAUAACCCUCUUCACUAUGUAUCCUGCCAGGUGGUAGAGGACACAGGACUCGGUCUUUGUCAUGUCAGGUGGUGAUGGGUCUACCAGCUGCUCCACUCUCACAACCUCAGAAGCACUGCAGCUGCUUUUCUGGGUGUCCAGGAAGUCCGCCAAGUGGUCUGAUGCAUCAUCCAGAUCUUGCUGGACCUCCAGAAUUGUUGUUGUGGCCAUCACCAGUCCAGUCUGGACUGGUUUCCAGCUGCCCUGGGGACCAAUCUUCAGGCCCCGAAAAAGAUGGAUCGAGUCGCGGAGGAAGCUGAUGGCCUUUUCAUACUCUUCCAUCUUGAAAUGACUGAGGGCACAAACAACAUUGCGGGAUGACAUGAGGUCAAACCAGUGGUCCAUCUUCUCCAAAAACCAUGUCGUUGUAAGGCUCCAGGACACCUCUGGACAGAUUGGGUGCAAGCUUAAGUGCCAUGCCCUCCUGGAAGGACACCAGAUCCUUUAAGGGGGCAACAGAGACUUCACUCGAUGCCAGCUGCUCCUUUUCCACCACAUCCUGUGGUAUGGUGAUGAUGUGACCACGGACAAUGGCACUCUUCAAGUUCUUGACGAGGUGAGGAACGUCAGGCAUGAAAUGGAGGCGCUGGCUUGGCUCAACAGGAUGCUGGAUCCAUGGCUUGUCAUAGGUCACCCCAAAGGACUUCCACAUUGCUCUAUUGGGGCUCCCCAUGUCUGUGGUGAUGUUCAGUACAUGAAGCCCUACAGAUGCCGCUGCUUCAACAAUGUUGAUUAUGAUGGGCCGGUAAACUGCUCCAUUGGUGGAAUUGCCACUAUAGUGGUAAGCCACAACUUGUUUCCACCGUGUUGUAGCUCCAGCCAGCAUAAACACCAGUGCAUGUGUCGCUUGUCCUUUGUGCUCAGGCAGUGUGACAUUGCCAAAUAGCCUCCCCGUUCCCAAAUGGAGCUCCACGCCUGGAGUAAUGGACAUCUCAUCUAAGGUGAGCACACACUCUCUCUCCAUUUCCGUCAUACCACCUGCCUUCAGCCUCAGCAUCUUAAACACUUCGCCCAAAACUCCUGGCUCCAGUUUUACAUGCUGCAUCCUCCUUUGCAGCGUCCGGAUGUUGGGCAGCGGAAUAUGCAUUCGCUGGAGGGUUUUGUAACCAGUGGUGCCAGCAGUAAAUUUAACCUUUGCCUUAUUAGGUCCUCCACAGUCGCCCCAUCAGUCCCUGGCAGUCUGGUCCCUGGAGCAGCUGGCCCUGGAGCAGAUGGUCCUGGCAAAGUUAUAACUUCACUGUUGACCCCUGACUGACUGGCCCUCGGCACACACAUCCCUGGAUCACCUGCCCCUGGAUCACCUGCCACUGAAUCACCUGCCACUGGCAAUGUGGCCUCUUGAUUUCUCUCUCUGUCUCCUGGCAUGUCCCUUUCAAUGCUCUUCAAAUCCACCUCAAUUUCUCCCUCAAUCUCUGUAAAAAUUACAAGGUAAUGUUGCUGUUAUAUGUAUUUUGCCUUUGCAUUUGCAACUACUGUCAUCUCCAAUGUAGGAAAUGAUUUGAAGUGAAUCAUUUCUGUAAUGUGAAUUAAAUCAUCUGCCACAAUCAGAAACCAAUAAAAUGUAUUAAUGGAUCUACCGGCAAA